AUGCGGCGGGUGAAAAGGCGGUUAAUGGUGGCUUCCGAUCAGCUCAAGGUUCAGAUAAUUUUUGUUUUUUUUUCUUUUGGUUUUCUGAGUUUUUUCAGUGAAUCAAUCAGUCUGAGAAUUUUUUUCUCUGUGUUCAUGAAGGAUUAUAUACACUUAGAAAUAUUAGGGUUUUGUAUGAGCAAAUUGGGUUGA